rnacentral:rRNA from 1 species
UACAGAGGGUGCAAGCGUUGUUCGGAAUUACUGGGCGUAAAGGGCGCGUAGGCUGUGCUGUAAGUCAGGCGUGAAAUCCCCGGGCUCAACCUGGGAAUUGCGUUUGAUACUGCGGCGCUGGAAUGCAGGAGAGGAUGGCGGAAUUCCCAGUGUAGAGGUGAAAUUCGUAGAUAUUGGGAAGAACACCGGUGGCGAAGGCGGCCAUCUGGCCUGUAAUUGACGCUGAGGCGCGAAAGCGUGGGGAGCAAACAGG